UUAAGAGACUGCCGGUAUUAAACCGGAGGAAGUGGGAUGACGUCAAAUCAUCAUGCCCCUUAUGACCUGGGCUACACACGUGCUACAAUGGUUGGUACAACGAGUUGCGAGUCGGUGACGGCGAGCUAAUCUCUUAAAGCCAAUCUCAGUUCGGAUUGUAGGCUGCAACUCGCCUACAUGAAGUCGGAAUCGCUAGUAAUCGCGGAUCAGCACGCCGCGGUGAAUACGUUCCCGGGCCUU
rnacentral:rRNA from 1 species